GUGGGGAAUAUUGGACAAUGGGCGAAAGCCUGAUCCAGCAAUGCCGCGUGAGUGAUGAAGGCCUUAGGGUUGUAAAGCUCUUUUACCCGGGAUGAUAAUGACAGUACCGGGAGAAUAAGCUCCGGCUAACUCCGUGCCAGCAGCCGCGGUAAUACGGAGGGAGCUAGCGUUGUUCGGAAUUACUGGUCGUAAAGCGCACGUAGGCGGCUUGGUAAGUUAGAGGUGAAAGCAUGGAGAUUAACUCCAGAACUGCCUUUAAGACUGCAUCGCUUGAAUCCAGGAGAGGUGAGUUGAAUUCCGAGUGUAGAGGUGAAAUUCGUAGAUAUUCGGAAGAACGCCAGUGGCGAAGGCGGCUCACUGGACUGAUACUGACACUUAGGUGCGAAAGCGUGGGGAGCAAACAGGAUUAGAUACACCAGUAGUCC
rnacentral:rRNA from 1 species